UACGUAGGGUGCGAGCGUUAAUCGGAAUUCCUGGGCGUAAAGCGUGCGCAGGCGGUUUUGUAAGCCAGAUGUGAAAUCCCCGGGCUUAACCUGGGAAUGGCAUUUGGGACUGCAAGGCUGGAGUGUGGCAGAGGAGACUGGAAUACCUGGUGUAGCAGUGAAAUGCGUAGAUAUCAGGAGGAAUACCGAUGGCGAAGGCAGGUCUCUGGGCUGACACUGACGCUCAUGCACGAAAGCGUGGGGAGCAAACAGG
rnacentral:rRNA from 1 species